rnacentral:rRNA from 1 species
UGACGCCGCGUGAGGGAUGAAGGCCUUCGGGUUGUAAACCUCUUUCAGCAGGGAAUAAGCGAAAGUGAAGGUACCUGCAGAAGAAGCACCGGCUAACUAUGUGCCAGCAGCCGCGGUAAUACAUAGGGUGCAAGCGUUGUCCGGAAUUAUUGGGCGUAAAGAGCUCGUAGGUGGUCGAUCACGUCGGAUGUGAAAUUCUGAGGCUUAACCUCGGACCUGCAUUCGAUACGGGUUGACUAGAGUGUGGUAGGGGAGACUGGAAUUCCUGGUGUAGCGGUGGAAUGCGCAGAUAUCAGGAGGAACACCGACGGCGAAGGCACUUCUCUGGGCCGUAACAGACGCCGAGGAGCGAAAGCGUGGGGAGCGAACAGGAUUAGAUACCCUGGUAGUCCACGCCGUAAACGGUGGGUGCUAGUUGUGGGUCACAUUCCAUGUGAUCCGUGACGCAGCUAACGCAUUAAGCACCCCGCCUGGGGAGUACGGUCGCAAGACUAAAACUCAAAGGAAUUGACGGGGGCCCG